rnacentral:rRNA from 1 species
GACGAGAAACUGACUUUUUUAAUUUGAAUUUUGUGAAUUUUACUUUUUAGUCAAAAGGCUUAAAUUUUAUUGCAAGACGAGAAGACCCUAUAGAGUUUUAUUUUUGUUUUAACUUAUAAUUAAUUGGGUUUUAGUUUUAAAUUAUAUUUUAGAUUAAAAAUUUUGUUGGGGUGACAGUGAAAAUUCUUUAACUUUCCUUUUUUAUCAAUCAUUGAUUCAUGUAUUUUUUGAUCCUAAGUUUUGGAUUAUGAGAUUAAACUACCUUAGGGAUAACAGCGUAAUUUCCCUGGAGAGACCUAAUUGAUGGGGGAGUUUGCGACCUCGAUGUUGGAUUAAAGUAAGAUUAGGGUGCAGCAGCCCUGAAUCUAAGUCUGUUCGACUUUUAAACCUUUACAUGAUCUGAGUUCAGGCCGGCGUGAGCCAGGUUGGUUUCUAUCUGCAAUUUUAUUAUAUGUUUUAGUACGAAAGGACCGAAUAUAUAUAAUAAUUAUUUUAUUUUGAAUUCUAUUA